rnacentral:rRNA from 1 species
CCUAGCCUUUUAAUUGGAGGCCUGCAUGAAUGGCUUGACGAGCGCCCUGCUGUCUCUCUUCCCAUGAACUUUUAAAUUAACUUUCGCGUGCAAAGGCGCGAAUGGCUGAGUUAGACGAAAAGACCCUAUGCAUCUUUACUGAGAGAGAAGAAAGUUCUUUAGCUUGGUUUAGCUGGGGCAGCUGAGGAAAAGGCAAAAUUUCCUUAAUAUAAAUCAUACUGGUGGGUUUAGAUCCAGGCUCUUUAGCGGGCUUGACAAGUAGAAAAGUUACGCUAGGGAUAACAGCGUUAUCCUUCUGUGGAGGUCUUAUCUGCAGGAGGGAUUGCGACCUCGAUGUUGAAUUAGGGAUAUACCAGAAAGGCGCAGAAGCUUUUAUUGUGGGU